AAACGAGGAAGUCGCUGUAGAGGAGGAGUUUACCUAACAAACUCGCUUUAUUUACAAAUAUGGAAUAAAUGUCUAUAACUUAUACAAAAGUGCAUUUGCCACAAAUUAUGUGUAUAAUGUUAACAGUUUAUAAUGCGUGUUCAGAAUAUAUAAUAUAAUAUAUCGUUGUUUUCGUGUUUAGGUCAACUUUUCGGAGUUGCAGUGAUGGCAACAGUUGUAGUGUUGUUAGCUUGUUUGGGGAACUGUAGCUUGGUUAGCUAGUAAGACUCCCGCGGUUUACCGAGAUGGUGACCUCAUGUAAUUUCCCGGGUUGUAAGAGCACAACCAAGCUGCUGUCUUUCCCCGCCGACCCUGUGCGGGCUCUCCGGUGGCUGCAGAUCCUCGGGCUGCCAGAGGACGCUCGGACCACCGGGCUGAAAGUCUGCAUCCUCCACUUCUCCCCGGAGAGCUUCACCAACUACACCCAGGCUCAGAUGGGCUUUGCCGUCCGGCCGCAUCUGACGGAAGACAACUUCUCCGGAGGGUCGGCCGGUCAGAGUCAUAUCAGGAGCCUCUGGAGUCUCAGAGGAGCUGUCCAUAGACUCGGUGUCAGAAGAGGAAUCAGUGGAGUCAGAAAUAGAGACUGUGACUGUAAAGAUAGAGACAGAAGAAUAUGAGGAGCCUCUGAGCUAAAGUUGUGAACUUGAAGACCUGCCUGUGCAGCUUGACAGACAGCAGGAGAAGGUGACGAGGCAUUAGCCAUGCUGCUGACAGCCAAGCAAAACAAGUUCCAGCUGUUUAUUGCUGUGUUGCUUGUUUCCCAUGUCUCAGAGAGGAGGCAUUUGCAGUAAUCAGGAGAGCUGAGACAUGAGAGGCUGCAGGGACACGUAUGUUACACUUCAGACUGCAAACAAUGCAAUUCAUAAGUUCACCUAAAGCAACAAUAUGCAACAAGGCAAAGACACUAGCUCCUAGCAUCUGCAUUUUAGCCCACAACGGCUGUGGGUUCAGAUGUUUUUGGUCAAUCACAUUAGCUGAAUGCUGACUUGACAUGAGUGGACAACGUCAUUGCUAGUUUGUACUGAGAGGAUGAUUUUGUGUUUGUUCCCUGAGCCAUUGAUAGGCUUUGUUUUUCUGUGCAAGAGUUGUUAGCUUCGAGCUGUAUGCUGCUUCCAGUAUCCAUAACCGCUCAUGUUUGGAACCCAACAGAAUUUAAUGCACCAGCGUUCUGUAGUCGCCACUUCUGGCUGCAGAGGCCGCUGUUCACCAAGAGUUGCAUUGUCUUGCUUUGAAGUAGAUGUAAUCUUCCACUAUUGCCUGUAUUCAGCUUUAGAAAUGUAUUUUUAAGUGCAGGUCUUGUUUUCAAACUUGGUUUAAAGAAAAUUAACAAUGUUACAUACUGAAAUGUCUCUGGAGCUGAAAUUAAGUUGUAAUAAAUACUGAGCUGUCUCUCGUGCUUAAAUAAAUGUGUAAUAAAUUCCGGAGCUGUCUCUGGUGCUGAAAUCAACUUUAUAAAUGCUGAGCUGUCUCUGGUGCUGAAAAUACACAUGUGAUGCUCUGGGGAAAGAAGCAUACUUAAGACAACCUUGGGAUCUUCUUAUUUCCUAGUUGUUCCAUUAAGAACUCCAGACCAUUAACAUCAGAAUUACUGCAUUUACCACAAGAAUAUUAGAAACCACAGAGACCAGUAAAAUCAAAAACACACUCGUGUAAUGUGACUUAUGCCUACGUGAUUGUGAUUUUGUGGAAGCAUGAUUCAAAUAUGCUUAAACGUUUCAUUUUGCC